rnacentral:rRNA from 1 species
CCUAGGUGGCGCAGCAGUGGGGAAUAUUGGACAAUGGGCGAAAGCCUGAUCCAGCCAUGCCGCGUGUGUGAAGAAGGCCUUCGGGUUGUAAAGCACUUUCAGUGGGGAAGAAAGCCUUGGGGCUAAUACCCUCGAGGAAGGACAUCACCCACAGAAGAAGCACCGGCUAACUCCGUGCCAGCAGCCGCGGUAAUACGGAGGGUGCGAGCGUUAAUCGGAAUUACUGGGCGUAAAGCGCGCGUAGGCGGUCUGAUAAGCCGGUUGUGAAAGCCCCGGGCUCAACCUGGGAACGGCAUCCGGAACUGUCAGGCUAGAGUGCAGGAGAGGAAGGUAGAAUUCCCGGUGUAGCGGUGAAAUGCGUAGAGAUCGGGAGGAAUACCAGUGGCGAAGGCGGCCUUAUGGACUGACACUGACGCUGAGGUGCGAAAGCGUGGGUAGCAAACAGGAUUAGAUACCCGUGUAGUC